CAUUUGGAGAGAAUUGAGCUUCUCCAUCAUCGCUAGGCUCCAACUGAAAAAGGACCUCUUCUUGCCCAACUUUAGUGAAGUUAAACUUGCUUUCAUCAAAGGGCUGGAGGACCUUAUCAACACGGAACUCAGUUGGUCUCUUCUUGAGGUGGCGACCCUCAUUAAGCUGAGCAAUGAAACCAUACUCCCCAGGAAUCACCUAACCCAAUAACCAACACAUCAAACAACAGGCAUGCAAAAACCCAAACAAGCAAAACACGUCUGUCUACAAAGUGAAUCACACCAAAUGGCAUACAAAUCAGACCUUGGUUUCGCAGGCUGUGACGUCAUAACGGAAAAGCCCUCUCUGCAUGCGUUCUUCCCACUACACCACCAAACUCAAAAUACUUCAAAAAAUUAUGAAACAACUACAAACAAGGAAAAUAAAAAUAUGAAGCACAACAUCAUGACCCAACUUAAACACAAAUUAAAACGUUGGAAACAUAAUAACACAACUACAGCACAAAUGAAACAUCAAGCCUUUAUUAAAAAAAGGGCAUAACAUAAUGACACACCUACAGUCCUACACACGAAUAAAAACAGAACACCAAACCUUUACGCAUACCAUAAUGACACGUCUACACAGAUUCAAACACCAAUCCUUAAAAUACUUAGGUCACAUAACAUUACGCACGACAAACCUACACGUACAAAGAAAAACACCAAACCUGAAAAAACUCAAAAAACACAAACAAAAUAAUCAGAAUUCCUUAAUACCUCCCCGAGGAUAAGAGAGUCUAGAAACGCCACUGGGUAAUGCUCCUUGCAUCCAAGCAAAGGCAACUCUUUUCCACCGAUCUUGUCCCCCCUCUUGCAAGCAUAUAAAGGCAGCCUCGCACCUGUUCACCAAAACACCACAAAAAAACACAAAUGAGCAAAAUCCAAAAUCCAUCAAACAGAACACAUCAUGGUUUUAAAUUGAAGCCACAGUCACAGUUUCAUCACAAUCCUUAAGAUUGCAGACAAAUGCAUCCCGAAAUACCUAACUUCACGACUAAAAAUCAAGAUGAUGGACCCUAUUAGAAAGCCUUGCAUCAAACGCCCAAGCCAGAAAAUCCAAAACGUAAAAACGAAAAUACCAACCUUGAAUGCAACAACUUUUGAGGCAGUUCCGACCACAUCCUUCGGCAGGAGACUCGUCUGAUCCCUCCUUCUGAUAAUUGGAAACCACAGUGGGAACCCUCUUGAUGCUCAACAUUCUUGAACUCACCUAAACUAACAACUACCAGAGAAGAAGAACAACAAAAGCAACA
rnacentral:lncRNA from 1 species